rnacentral:lncRNA from 1 species
UUUGUGCCUCUUUUUAAAUUAAAUUUUAAUUAAAAGCAAUCCACUCAUUUUGAAAUUGUUACCACGAACUACGAGGUUUUGAUCCCUCAUUUUUAUGUUGGUACAUAGGCACAAGUUCGAAGGUCAUGUCAAACACAAAAAUAUAAUCAAUGAAUUCGUUUCUCAUCCCCACACUCUACACACAUGAAAAGUGGCUCCCUAGGAGUACCUAGGACACUUUGGGUCCUGUAAUUUCUGGCAUUUUAUUAGUUUUGAUUUGAA